rnacentral:lncRNA from 10 species
CAAGCCUCAAAAAAUCUAAGGAAAAGAUAUUAUGUAUCUAGUUUUUCUAGUCUUAUUAAACUAUUUUGUGGUUCUCUGCAUAUUCCACAUUUUUCCAUGUGACUACUUCUGUGCAAAUUCUGUUUCUCUAGGCAGGGAUACCCCUCAUCUCCUUGGUUGACUGACAGACUUCAGUUCGGGUUGUGCUUCAAGAACCAGCACAAAUGGCACCUCCUUUAUUCAGUUAUUUACCUGAACUCCCACAAUAGAGUGAAAUUUGCACAUACCUUAAUCAGAACAAAUGGAUUUCUGUAGAUAUUCCUUGGAUUUGUUAUGGAUUUAUGCUUGUGCAUCAUGAGCCUAUUGAAGUCACCAUACCCUUUUUGGAAUGGAGAGCCAACUCUUCCAUUAUCAUGCUGCCACUCACAAAUUGCUGCCUAUGUCUUGGCCUGGGCCCUUCCUGACCUCCUCUAGACAACGGCACCCCAUCUCUCUCAGGGCAGAUCAAAGGAACCAGGUUUUGAUGACUUACAGCUCACACAAGGUCAUCCUGGGAAAACAGAUCCUGAGAAGUACUGCAGAGCUUGUGAAGUACUGCACUGGCUGGUGUCUGGAUUCUAGAGUUUAUGAUCUGCUCCAAAGCCAGAGAGGUGAUGACUAGAAGGUAGAUAUGAAUUGGGGACAGUGGUGUGCUGAUAAAUAUUUAACAACCAGCUCCCUGGGGGAAAAAUAUGUGCAUAUGUACAUGUACAUAAGUUUAUUAUACAUUUCACUCAUAUACAGGACAAGUAGCACACAAUUUACAUGUUAUAUAUAUAAAAUAUACAAUAAUCUUUAUUAUAAAUUCCAUAUAGCUAAUUGAUUCUCAUAGAAUACAUUAGUUAAUUUCUGUUGAACUCUUGUAUUCAUGGCCAAGCUAUUAUUGCAAUCCAACCAUUAUUUGACAAUAUCAGCCUGCAAAUAAACGUUUAAAUACUGUCUGGUUC